rnacentral:rRNA from 1 species
UACGUAGGGGGCAAGCGUUGUCCGGAAUCAUUGGGCGUAAAGCGCGUGUAGGCGGCUUGGUAAGUCUGCUCUGAAAGCCCGGGGCUCAACCCCGGGAGGCGGGUGGAUACUGCUGAGCUCGAGUCCGGAAGAGGCGAGUGGAAUUCCUGGUGUAGCGGUGAAAUGCGCAGAUAUCAGGAGGAACACCGAUGGCGAAGGCAGCCUCCUGGGCCAACACUGACGCUCAUGCACGAAAGCGUGGGGAGCAAACAGG